UUCAUACAUUGGUAAGUUUGUACAAUUCAGGCUGAAAUAUUUAGUAAGAACUAUAUAACAUCUUAGAGGCCAUAAUUUAGAAACAAACUUUAUUGUUAUAUCCUCUAUCAAGCAGAUGUCAGUAUUUUAACGGAAGUUGUAACAUAAUUGAGUUGUGCAUAUCUUACUCUUUGUGUAUUCUCAAGUUUUCAGAGAUAAAGCAGGGUUAGUCCUGAUUCAUCUUAUAUGGGAGAUAUACAAAAAAAUUAACAGCUGACAUUUACUUGGAGUAUAUUUGAGGUUAAAAAAACUAGACAAAAGAAAUAGAGCAAAUUAGGAGUAAAAUAAAAUAUGAUUAGUAGAGGAAAAAUAAAUAAAACCAAUUUCAUUUAGGUGGAACCACCAUAACAUGACAGUGUCAACAUUUGAUAGGUGCUAAAGAAGAGAAAACCAAAAAUGUUUCUCUGCCACUUUAAGGAAGAGGAAAAAAAGUAAAAAUAUUGUACAGUCAGCAGAGUAAAACUAUCAAAAGAAAGAGCCACCUGUCACAUGACUGGUAGUAAGUAUGGCUCAUUGCAAUCCAGAGAGCAGGAUGCACUGAGGAUAAACCAGUGACAGAUACCUGCUAUGCUUGUGUGGUAUGGGGAGGGACUGUGCAAGGAAGGAGAGUAAGGCUUGGCCCAAAGGGCCCAAUGUUCAUCAUCUCCUGACCUGUCUAUUUUCCCUGCUCCCAAGCUGUAGAUGUAGUUAGGGGACACCUCAAUGGCAUUAGUUAGAUCCAGUAUCAAUUCAUGUCCUCCCCAACUUCCAUUUCUGCUGCCUGGCUCUAAGUGUGCUCUUGGUCCUUGAAUCCUGAGCACAUCAACUCAGUGGUAUACGAAGGACCUUGAUUCCUCCCUGCACUGCCUGGUCUCAGAGGACCGUGCACUCUUGGAGCUUAUUCUCAAUGCUGUCUGUGCUGAGCCUUCCUCUUCCUUACUGACCUUCCAGCUUUCACUUCUGUCCCAGAUUCAGACAUUUAUCUCCAGAUUGAGUCUUCCCCCCCAGGGAGCUGGGCUAAAGUCUCUUGCUUCCUCUAGGAACUCACUUUUAUUGUUUUAAAAGAUCAUUCUUCAGCCACUCAACAUAAUAUGAUAUUGUAAUUGCUGAGCCUAUUUCUUGAACACUUAAUCCUGUUGCUGCAAACACUUCUUUAUUUUCCUUCAAUCAUAGCGUCAGUCCCUGUGUCCAAAGCAUGGAUAGCACUCUCUCUUUUCUAUUCCCAUCUUAGCUUCUUUCUUGGCUCAUUUUUUUUUUCUAUUCUUUACUGGACCCUUUCUAUUUUCUAGAGCAAUAUUAACCAACCAGAAAUCAUUGUUUUUCUUGGCAGCCCUUUUCUCUGUCCUUUAAUCCCAACUCAAGCCUCAUUAUUUCUUUCCUGCCCUUUCAGUUUUCUUAAGCAAGACGUCCACAAACCACACAUUAAAUGGCUCAUUGGUUCAUAAAAGCUCAAUUACUGACCUCUGUUGUUUGGAUUUGGAAGGCAUUGUGGGGAUUCUGUUUGGGCACACAGAUUUUCAGUCAUGUGACUUUAAUUGUGGCAUUUGUCCUGUGACAUUUGGAGAAUGAGUUAUGACAGGGAAACCCAGGCCACCUGUUUAGGAGGGAGAAAGAAGGCAUUUUUUUUCUAAAUUUAUUUUUUAGUUGUAGUUGGAUUCAAUACUUUUAUUUUAUGUAUUUAUUUUUAUGUGAUGCUGAGGAUCCAACCCAGGGCCUCGCACAUGCUAGGUGAGCGCUAUACCGCUGAGCCACAACCCCAGCCCAGAAAGAAGGCAUUUUAAAACAACAUAGUCAAAAAAACUUAUGCAUAUUUCUACUAGUCAGAUAGCAUGCAGGGACAGGAGCUGUAUCUGCCUGGCUUUUGCUGUAUCCUCAGCAAAAUUGUGUUGUUUGUGCAUUGUCGACACUUGAUAAAUGUUUGCUAAAUGAGAGACUGAGUGAAUGAAUGAGGCCUAUAUAAAAAUUUAACUGAGUGGUAAGGUAGAUAGUUCUGAAGUAGGGCUUGUUUCUAUCAUGUGUCUGUGUAUAUAUGUGUGUGUUUACUUUGUCGGUUUUGGUCAAUGGGACAGUAAGAUGUGCACAUCAAGGAGGAAUAUAGUUAUAUGAGAAGUCUACUGUUAAUUUUAUUUUCCUUAAAAGUAUGAAAUAUUACUUGUAGAUAUAAUAAAUCAAAUUAGACAAGUAAAAGAAGCCCCAAAUUGUUCAGAAAUAAACUUGUCAUACCUACUGAGCAGUUAAUGUAAAAUGGAUGGUGGUUGUUAUAAGUCAGAAACUGAUUCUCCUUCAUAGAGUCCCUUACUCCAUCUCUACAAAGCCCUCUCAAGGGCCAGCGCGGAUAUCUCCACUCCACCCCCCAAAAUCUGACUUCCCACUAUAAGGAAUCUCUAUUGUGACUCAGGUUACAUUUCACAUGACUCAUGGUUACUUAGACAUUUUGUGUCUUUUUGAAACCAUAAGCUCUCAGAGAGCAGUAUUUGUUUCUUUUAAUUUUGGAAUUCCACUAAAUCUUAUUACUUAUACUUUGUACAUACCAGUAGUGAAUAAAUACUUGUUGAAUAAAUGAAUGAAGAGAUGAAUGAAUAUCUCAAAGAAUGGUAAUAAUAAUGUGAGCAUAACACUUAUGAAAAUAAAAAGACAAACUUGAGUAUUUAUGUGGUUAAAUAAGAAUUCAAGUGCUGAGAGAAAAGUAGGGAAUAGUUAGGGCAGGGAAGCAUCUCGUCACCACGAACUGCAAAUCCCAAAGUCAAAAUAUGUGUAUAUCAUUUUUAACAACUUAUUGACUACCAUGGUAUACAGUAAAGCCUACACUGUGGCCUGUGCCAAUACAGGUUAAAAACACUCCAGGGGUCUUUAAGUCUACUUAGGUAAGAUUGUGAUACAGGGAGAGGCUCAAGAGAGCAAAAUAUGAUGUGCAGAACAGGAAAUCAUCCAAUAAUAGUAAAAAUAGUAACAAGUGACAAGAUAGAAAAAAAUGUGGAAUUGUAAUUAUUUAUUUUAAAAAAUUAGUUGUAAUUUAGAUUGUAAUUGCUCUCUUAGUUAAUGAGGAAAGGGAAACACAGGGAAUGGCUCAAGUUUAUGAUAUGGAUUUCUCCUUGAAAUAGAAAUUCCACUAACUAAAAGCAAAUCAAGGCAAACAUUGGAACACUAAAAUAUAAAUCAUAUGGAAUAGUUAAUUCUCCAAAGGAAAUAACCCAUAAUUUGGAAACAAAAGAUUAGAAGGAUCUAAUAUUGAAAUAUAAGGAAAGAAAAUGGAAGGAAUUAAGUAAUGAGCUAGAAACAAAAAUAGUGGCUUCUACUGAAAUUGUGUUUAUUUGGCAUCAAACAUGAAAACAUUUACAUGAGAAAUUAAGGAUCUACUUUUUUCACCUGGCUAAUGCCAAUAUCCAUAUGUGGCUGUGUACAAGAUCUCUUCGUGUAUUCGGUUGUAUGUAGCACAAUUUAAAAGAAAGAAAAUCUAAAUAACAACAUUAAAAGCUGUAUUUAUGUUAGUAUACUUUGGGAAAGUUUUGCUCUUUAUUCUUCCACAAAUGUGAUUAUAACAAACUUUCAUAUGCGAAUUGGUGGACACAAAGCUUAAUGGGAUCGAGUUAUGUCAAAUUGUAUAGCCUACAAAAGGCAAUAAGACAUAUGUAUAAUAACCAGUUCUAAAAGUAAACUAUAAGAUUAUGAAGUUUAGAAGAUAACUAAAGGAGUUGACAAAAUGCAAUCAGAGAUCAGAGUUGGAGCUUCUGCCUAUGGUUGUACACGGUGUGAAUCAACUCUAGAUGUUGGUGUGGAUGGCGUCCCUUAGAAUUAUUCCAUACACAAGCAUAUAUGGCUCACCUUAUUGAAAGGGACAGAGAAAUCACGAGGAACAAAAGGACUUUGUUUUGUCAGUGAUGGAGGUGGCAUUAGGUCUUGGAUGAUUGGUAAGAUUUUAUUGUUUCUAAGAAAGGGUUCACCUAGAUACUGCAAAUGGCAUAAACUAAGUCAGGAAGGCCCAAAAGUAUAAACUGUUUAAAGGUCACUUUGUACAGCUGGUCACACAUAAAAGGUUAAAAUGCUGAGAAGAAAGGUGGGCAUCAUUUUGAAAGGUGGUCUUAAUUCUAGGACUAUAGCUUAUGUUCCAUCAGACAAUCUAAAGAGCUGUUUGAGAGGUUAGAAAAGAGGUAGGUGACACAGUCACAGCAAAGGUUUAGGAAAAGUAAUUGGGAUGGUUUAGCCAGGAUGGGAAUAUUUAAGUGGAGGAUAGAAGACUAUCUAAGAGGCCCUGUCUUCCAGUUGGAUGUAAGAAAAUGACCACCUGAAUGGACAUAGGAAAGUAUAGACAGUUUUGGAGAUAUUGCAAUAAAAGAAUCAUCAACAAAUCCUAGGUUCAAAUGGCAUUUGAAGUUUGACAGGAUCCAACAAUGAUUUGGGACCUAGCAGCUAGCAGUGUUAUUGAAAGAAAAAGGGAGGUUAGGAGAAGGUGUUGAUACAUAUCGUUGAAACUGACCAGUGGCCAAAUGUGUCAGUUGAGAUUUGGAAUUUGGGAAUCAUCUACAAAAUUUCUUGAGACCUUGAGAGUAGGACUCAGGUCCUUGGUUACAGAGAAGGCCCAGUCCAGUUUAUAAUAAAUGCAGCAUGUGCUCAGUUAGCAGUUUCUUGACUUACACAGCCUGGUAAGUGGAGAAAUACAUUCUCAUUGUAGGUAAGGCAUGUCGAGAGAUUCAUUUAAAAAAAAAAAAAGCAAGCUAACAUGAGAAAGUAGAUCUUAGAAAUGGAAUAAGGACAAGCUCAAGUCAAGUCUGGACCUUUAGGUCACAGGAUUUGGGAAUGGUAGAUUCCCAGUUAUCAAGAUCUCUGACUCUUUACCAGAGAUUUUCUAAAAGUUUCUUGAGCUUUGGGAAUGGUGUUUUUGAGCUUUCUUUCAUAGCCACAUUAUAAAGUAGAGUAUUAGAAAGGGUUAGACCUGAGUCCAAGUCUUGGAUCUGUAACUUAACUAAUUAUAGGAUCUUAGAUAAGUCAGUGAGUGUCUUUUAACCCUUGGUUUCUCAUAUACUAAAAAUGGUAUAAACUAAAUCAGAAAAAAAAAAACAAAACUACAAACUGCGGUCAGAGGUCACUUUGAUAUUUGGUCAACAAUGUACCACAUAUUUGAUGGUGGUCCCAUAAGAUUAUAAUAAACCUAAGUGUGCAGCAGGCUAUGCCAUCUUGGUUGAUACAAGUAUGCUCUAUGAUAUUUGCACAACAACAAAACCACCUAAUGACUCAUUUCUCGGAACACAUCCCCAUCAUUAAGCGACACAUCACUAUAUCAUGAGAGGAUAAUAAUACUCAUCCUGCUUAUUGCAUGAGGUUGUUAUAAAAAAAAUUCAGGGUAUCAUUACAAAAAUUGUAGUUUAGUUCUAUGUGAAAGCAGUUUUCAGCCUUAAAGUUUGUUUUCUUUACUAGGGGACCCAGGGACAAAAUCAAAAAUAGAUUUUCAAUCUUACUUCUUUACAUUUAAUUAACUCUAGAAUCUAAAAUUUUUUAGACCUUUAAAAAAUAGUCUUUUGAUUUUUUAGAUUCCCUUUUGCUUUUCUAACAUGCUUUAUUUUUAAAAUAUCUUCUAUAUUUUGAUUUUCUGAAGUUUUAAAGUCUCUUAAUUUUUCUUUUUGGAUUGAAUUCUGCUUUCUUACAUACCACUUCUCUAGUUUCUAGACCUCUCUGGUAAAUUAAUAUGAAAUAAUAUAGCUUUUUAGAUGUAUGACAAAAAUACUAAAAGUACUGCAAUUAUUAUUCUUCACACUAUGAAAUUUUGUAUAUAUUUUGUGUAAUGAUCGCAAUAUUUUGAAACCAGUAGUCGUUGAGUUUAGAAUUGCUUAAUAAGCACAAAAGUAAGAAAAGAGAGUAUGUAGGGAAGAAGAGAAAUGCAAAACAAUUUAUUUAGCCGACGUGAUUGAAGAUAAAAAUGAAGGCACUCUAUAAAUUUUUUAAAAAGUAGAUAAGGAUGUACAAAAACUUUACUGGAAAAUUGAAAAUCCUGGAAGCUCAGUGGUUUCCCGCCACUGAACAGGUAAAACACAGUAUGUCAUUUUGUGCUUCCCUAAAUAUAAUAGGUUGUAGUGAUGCCAAAAUGAAACUCUCCCGGGACAUUGUCAGUGUGUAGUGCCAGGAUUUCUUUUUUUUUUUUUUGAGUGGAAAUAUUAAAGGAGAUAUUGGUGCUGAUAUUUCCUCUGUUGGGAGAAGUGAUUUGUAGAACCUAACUAGAUGGUCAGGAUACUGGAGCUGCUUAGUGACUAUGAAGCUGUUAGUUGUCAGUGGCCUCUGACCUGCUUCUCUACCUGUCCCAGGUAUCUGUUUCAUGUUAUUCCCUCUAUCUAGACUUCUCCACUCUUCAUUCUCCAGACUCUGCUUAGUUCUUCACUGCUUCUCCGCACAUCAUUGGUCUAUUACCUUUUGUAGCCUUGCUAGAGAAACUCCGACCUAAAGAGAUUGAUAAAUCUUUCAUCACACACUGAGAUAACUGGUGGUGUCCCUGAGAUAAUUGGUGGUAAGAAAGCCAAAGGGAACUCAUGUGUCCAUUUUUAUGUUCAACAAAUAUUUACUGAGUGUAUACUAUGUAUCAGGCCACUGUUAAUAGAAGUUGAGGCACAACAGUAAAAAUGAUAGACAGUUCCCUGCCCUUAUGGAGUUUAUAUUCUAAUGGAAGGAUGUAGGCAAUAAAUAAGAUCAUUUCAGAUAAUGUUAAGUGUUCCCAGGGAGAUCAGAGAGGGUGGGCUGAUCACUACAGCUAAGAAAAUAAUUUAUCCAUUUCUUUAAGGUGAAGUGUAACAGAUUAUAAAUCUGUUACUCAUUCUGGGGCUUUGUAUGAAUUUAGCUAUUGAAAAAAGAAGGCAGAAAGAAAACACACCAUAAUCUCUCUCUCUUUUUUUCCCCCUUUCCCUCUAGGCUGGUAACAGUUCAUGUUUGCUUCAUUAAUGAAGCAGCUUUAAACAAAUUCCUAUUCUGUCUGAAGUGACAGACCUCAUCUUUAUCUGUUCUCGCUACCCAUGACUUUAUAUGGAUGAUUCAGAAAUUGGAACAGAGUGUUUUACUGUGAAACUGGCAAUGCAUUAAUCAUCUAUAAAGAAGAACUUGCAUGGAGCAGGACUCUAUUUCAGGACCUGGGGGUCUUGUGGUCUCAUUCAGAACUUGCAAGUGAUGAUGGGCGAGAAAGCAUGUGUCCCAGUCUGCAGGCACCAUUUUUGCGGCUCCAGAAAUGUCUAAGUGCUGAGAAACCACACGGCUUUACUCUACAGUUACCACCUGAAGCCUGUAGUCGUUCUGGUCUCUGCAAGUAGAUGUCAGCCGGGAUAGUAGGGGGAAUACAUUUUUUUCUAAAAGGGAUCUAGAAAACUAUCUUAAAAAAAAAAAAAGAGUAAAAUCUCAGUUGUAUCAGCUACAGUCAGGUGUGGGAAGCUGUGGGAACAGAGGGGUUGGAACAGGUGUUCAGUCUUGUAGUUCCUGAUUAAAAAGAAGGGUCUGGUCCUGAUCUCUUCUGACACAGACAUGCACACCCAUAUCCCACUAGAUUCAUGGACAUGGUGGCUGGCUGGUUCUAUCUAUGCAGGGGAGUCAGUGCUGAAUUAGAACCAUAAUGCUUUGGCAUAGGGAAGACUCUCAGCAUCGUCCCAGGAAGAAUCUAUGAACACUGCCCAGCAGAAGAAUGUUCCCAGGAGGAUCUUUGGCACCCCUCGUGAAGUUGGCCUUUUCUCUUGACCAUUCUAUAGCAUGUAAAUUGUGUUUGCAAAAUAUAUUAUGACAGGCUUAUAUUCUAAAACUAUCACACAGUUGUGUAAAUGGACUUGAGAGAAAAUGCUGAAUGUACAAAGGUCCCAUUUUCAAUUUCCACCAUGGGAGAGAGUAAAAAGUAAAUUAUGAUAUUUAGCAUCUAAGGUUAGAAAACCAUACCCACAUGCUAAAUGGGUAUUGAAAAACUAGGUUACUUGGCUUUUACAAGAAUGCAAGGAAUCAGGAAACUUUAUUUAUAGUAUAAUCACCAUUAUCUGUUUAAAGGAACCAUUUAUUUAAAAUCAGGCACUCUAUAUUCAUUAAGGUUUAUGGAUUAAAAAUAAACAAAAAGAGAGCUUUAUGUAGUUAUGCAUGUCAGUUUGCUAUUUAAAAUGUGUGAUGGCGUUUGUCAUGUUAAGAGUGAAAUCGGCAGAAUUCCCAAUAUGUAAAUUGUACUUUUAAGCCAGAAUUUGUAAGACAUUAUGUUAAUUCCCCUGGUCAAUUUUUUAAUAGUUGAAAGAACUUCUGACUAAAAUCAAAGAAUGAUUUUUCUUAGAGUUUUUACUUUGAUAAGGUUCUUCUUGCAGAUCAUGAACAAAUACAUAAAAGAAUCCAAAGCUUUUCAUUCUAAAUCCUUGUGAUAACACCAGUGCCAUGUACUAUAACCAUAAGCUGACCAUUUUCAAUGUAGUUAUACAAAAGGGCAUGAAAAAUUAACUGCUAGCUUUCCUUUGAUUUCAAAGGUCCAAGAAUUUCUAGUGUAGUUGGAUUGUAGCUCGUCUUCACAGCUAAUCUACAUACAGUUUCAGUACGUGGCCUUUGCUCUUUUUUUAUACCAAAGAGCUCAGCUGAUUUCUAGGGUCCCUUUCUUGUCCAACGUGCUGUGCUUCCUCAAGUGCAGGCCAUUUCUUUAAGAUACAAUCCAAGUGCAUUGGGAAGCUGCAUUAACUUAUUCAGUCCCUCAGAUACCCCGUGGUACAAAUGAUUAGUAAUAAAAUUAGAGAUAGUUUAAUUGCUGAAAGGACCUAGCUCAGUGUGUGGCAUUGAUUGUUUUGAGGAAAAUAGACAUAGGUUAACAUGAGUUUUAGGUGUAGGUGGUAUAUAGAUGGAAAAGAUUGAUACUUCUCAGUCUAAUAGCUUGAUUUAUUUAUCCAGUGGUUUCAGUUUCCUUGGGCAUGUGAAAAUGCUAUUUCCUAGCUUGAGAGUUCCUUAAAUAUAGUUUUGUUCUCAAAGCUAGUAGUUGGAUUUUAACACUGAAGGACAUGAUAAUAAUCAAUAGAGCUAAGUAAACAAACUUAGCAGGUUAUGAAAUCUGACAUGGUAAAGAGGGAAGAGUGUAUCCUGUCUAUUAAAUGUAUUGGUUCAUUGAGAGUUACAUGGAUUGCCAAUUUUUGAAACACUAAAGUAUAAUAAAACGCAUGAAUAAUAGAAAAAUGCUCAACAUUAUUUUGGAUGCUAGCUGCUUGGACAUUAACUAUGUCAUAUCUGCUUUGAGAUUAAAAAUUACAUAUAUGUAGAUAUAUAAAUAAAUAUAUCUUUGCUUAUUUUAUCCCAUAUGUGUUCAAAUAUCCUUUAUUAUAAAUUAUGGAAAACUUACACUGAGAUGAUAAACCAUGAAAUCACCUUUGAAAUUGGUGCCAUGUAUCUAAUAGUUCUCUCUUGUAAUAUUUCAAAAUUGUCUUUUAAUUAAAAUGAUCUCAUAUGUCUGCAGAUUCUCAAUUAUACUGAAAGCUCUGCACCUCUUUGGUAGAAACCACGUCUGUAAUAAAACAGGCUCUGUGAUAAAUGGGGCCUGCAUGCCCAGUGCUAGUGAAGUGAUCUUCUUAGAUAUGGUUUUAUAAUCUAAUGUGCUUGCCACACUGCCACUUUUAAUGAGUCAGAGGCAAAUUGAUUUUUUAUUACAAUAAUAGAACAAGUAAACUAGCUCUUUAAAAAGGAUUACUUUUGUGAAAAAAUGAAAAUAUGAACAAGUAUAUGUCCACAAUGAAGUAUUUGCUUUUAGUAAGAACUAGACAGACACAUUUCACUGAGCAUUAAGGUAUCUAGAGAAACUUUGUAGCAUAUUUUGCUAUUCUAAUUCUAAUUGGGGUUAGAAAUGAACAGAAAAAUCCAUUCUGAAAUCAUGGAUAUUUCCUAAUGUCCUUCUACAGCUAGGUUUUGGUUUCAAAAUCUAAUUCUAAUAUGGAGCUUCUAGUCAUUCCGUAUCUAUUCUUCAUUCAGAAAUGUAUCCUUCAUAAAGGCAGUUUGGUAUAGUGAUAUGGAUGUUGGAAAAGAUUUUCAGGAGCCUCUACUCUGCCUUUGUGGCAAAUGACCUUCCUUCUUUUGAUCUCAUUUUUCAAAUGACCUUCCUUCUUUUGAUCUCAUUUUUCUGUUCAUCUGUACGGUAAACUUGGAGGUUGCUUCUCUUCUCUGAGGGUGAGUCCUUAUUGCUUAUGAUGGACAAAGCAGAAAAUAGAACAGAAACUCUCCCAUACAAACAUCCAACUAUGAUCUCUGAAUAAGCAUCUUGAUCUUAAAAAGUCAUUGCUGGUUUUUUUUCUAAUGUAAAUAGGGUCCAUUAGUAAAAGUGAAAUUCAGUCUCAAGUAGGGUGAAUUGGGUAACCAUUUACAUGAGAGAUGGCUUUUAUCUUUGCUUAAAUAAAUAUUUUGGAUCACCUCUGAGGAAUGAAAACAAGUAGUACAUUUUAGUAAGGAAGAGAUAAAAGGAGAUGCAUAUAACAUUAGGAAAUACACCAAAUUAAGCCUUUAAAUGACCUUAUUUUAUUGAAAGCUCACAGUAGAAGAUGUAAGAUGCUCAUAAAGUUUAUACAUGCCAAAAGAUAUUUUAGAACCAAUAUAUAAAAGGAUAAUCCAUAAAUUACAUUUUAGAUUUGGACGGUGGGACAAGAAUUUUAAAGUGAGCCAGCUUAUCUUUGAAAUAACAUUAUUUUGAAAUUGGCUUUAAAAUAUUUUAUUUGUGGAGUUUGAUCACACAAUUCAUAGGGUUGCUGCUUUCCAUUAACUAAUCUUGAAAUGCCUUUUUAAAAACAAAUAAUGGUAUUUUCAUUUUAUAGCAAGGUGUUUCAGAAGUAAUCCAUAUUAAAAUGGAUGCUUAUGAUCCUAAAAUGUUUGCUAAGCAUUGUAAAAAUGUACAACUGCCAUCUCCAACUACAUUUUAUAAUGUUAUUUUUUAAUAAAAUUAAGAUAAUAAUUGUUGAAAAUAAAAACCAUGGUGUUUUCAUUUACUUGAUUUCUGACCUGUAAGACUUAAUGUAAUUUUCCAAUUGAAAUAGCCUAUUUCCUGUACUCUAAGGAUCAAUGUGUGAUUAUAGUGUCCACUUGCCACUGUUUUCUAAAUCAUUGGACUUGAAAAGUAUUCAGAUAUUUAGAUGGAUGCACAGAUGUAUCUCUAGUUCAGUCAUAGAUUGGAGUUUGCAUAUUGUAAUGUAAAUGUAUGUCAACACUAUUCUAAAUAGUUUUAUUAUGACUGAAGUUUAAUUAAAUAAAAAAGGUUGUAAAAUGUGAUGUGUAUGUGUAUAUACUGUAUGUGUACUUUUUAAAAUAGGUAUGUGUCCUGACCCUUUUUUAUACAGGUUUGACUUUGAAAUUACAUUAUAUAUACAUAUACUUUAUUGUUCUAAAUAAAGAAUUUUAUGCACUAUGGUAAA
rnacentral:lncRNA from 1 species